GCGCACCAGGCGAGAAUUUUCUCAAUGGGCGAAAGCCUGAAGGAGCGACGCCGCGUGGGGGAUGAAUGGCUUCGGCCCGUAAACCCCUGUCAUUUGUGAACAAAUUGUUUCACCUAACACAUGAAGCAUUGAUAGUAACGGAAGAGGAAGGGACGGCUAACUCUGUGCCAGCAGCCGCGGUAAUACAGAGGUCCCAAGCGUUGUUCGGAUUCACUGGGCGUAAAGGGUGCGUAGGCGGUUGGGUAAGUCUGGCGUGAAGUCUCCGGGCCUAACCCGGAAACUGCGUUGGAUACUAUCCGGCUAGAGGAAUGGAGGGGAGACUGGAAUACUUGGUGUAGCAGUGAAAUGCGUAGAUAUCAAAGUGGAACACCAGUGGCGAAGGCGAGUCUCUGGACAUUUCCUGACGCUGAGGCACGAAAGCCAGGGGAGCAAAACGGGAUUAAGAUACCCGUGUAGU
rnacentral:rRNA from 1 species